CUAAUGUUGGUGUAUCCCAGCACUUUAAGCUUUCUACUUAAAAGAGCUCUUUAGGGGCACAUUAGA
rnacentral:tRNA from 1 species